rnacentral:SRP_RNA from 1 species
GCCGGGCAUGGUGGUGCGUACCUGUAAUCCCAGCUACUUGGGAGGCUGAGGCAGGAGAGUCGCUUGAACUCGGGAGGCAGAGGAUGCAGUGAGCUGAGAUCAUAUCACUGCACUCCAGCCUGGGUGACAGAGCAACACUCUGUCUCAA